GGGAGUGUGGCUUAGAGGUAAAGUACUUGCCUAACAUGCAAGAGGUCUUGGGUUCAAUCCCCAGCACUGCAA